AAGAGGGUGACGCAGACAGGCACCAGAUCAGCGAUUACAGUGCAGGGAGUGGUAGACGACUUGUUUCCAGUGCCAACCGGUUCAAACCAAGAUCUUAUGAGGAACUAAGCAUGAUGAUCCAUGGUAAUCCUCAAGCACUCUCCAACUUAACCCUGACUGACAAUGUUGACACCACUGAAGAGCGUUUGAUCAUUCAAGCCAAAACGAUGCCCUAUUUUAUCCUGCACGUGUCACUAGCUGCUGGCGGACUGACUGGACAAUCCAGAGCAAAGAUUCACUCUUGACGGGAAAAUGAUUCCACAGCGUCAAAGGAUUCCUGGCAUUCAGCACAUUUGUUGUCUUGCUUGAAGUGUUGCGUCAGUGGUGUACUUUCUACCUAACCUCUGCCACCUGUGUGCCAGCCACAAAGGGACCAGGCCACUUUCUCCACAUCCUACGCAAGACAUUCCAAACACUUUUUGCAUCAUGGAUCACACCGUGUGUCACAACAAUGCUAACAUGACUCGUGCCAACUGCACAAUCAUGCAAACAACAUCACACCAUAGGUAAUAACAUGUAUUAACCUUUGAGUUUCAAAGGUUAAAUCAUUACGAACACCUGCUCAUAAUGCUUUUCAGUCCAAGAGAUGUAAAAAUAACUCAUUAGUAGAAUGAAUUGAAAAUAAUG